GCACUUGACUUUGGGAUAACUUCAGGAAACUGGGGCUAAUACCGGAUAGGAGCUCCUGCUGCAUGGUGGGGGUUGGAAAGUUUCGGCGGUUGGGGAUGGACUCGCGGCUUAUCAGCUUGUUGGUGGGGUAGUGGCUUACCAAGGCUUUGACGGGUAGCCGGCCUGAGAGGGUGACCGGCCACAUUGGGACUGAGAUACGGCCCAG
rnacentral:rRNA from 1 species